CCUACGGGUGGCAGCAGUGAGGAAUAUUGGUCAAUGGGCGGGAGCCUGAACCAGCCAAGUCGCGUGAGGGACGACGGUCCUAUGUAUUGUAAACCUCUUUUGUCGGGGAACAAAGGCGCCCACGGGUGGGCGGAUGAGUGUACCUGAAGAAAAAGCAUCGGCUAACUCCGUGCCAGCAGCCGCGGUAAUACCGAGGAUGCGAGCGUUAUCCGGAUUUAAUGGGUUUAAGGGGUGCGAAGGCGGACAGUAAAGUCAGCGGUAAAAAUGCGGGGCGAAACUCCGUCCAGCCGUUGAAACUGGCAGUCUUGAGUGGGAGAGAAGUAUGCGGAAUGCGUGGUGUAGCGGUGAAAUGCAUAGAUAUCACGCAGAACUCCGAUUGCGAAGGCAGCAUACCGGCGCCAGACUGACGCUGAGGCACGAAAGCGUGGGUAUCGAACAGGAUUAGAUACCCUAGUAGUC
rnacentral:rRNA from 1 species